rnacentral:rRNA from 1 species
UUAAGCGACUAAGCGUACACGGUGGAUGCCCUGGCAGUCAGAGGCGAUGAAGGACGUGCUAAUCUGCGAUAAGCGUCGGUAAGGUGAUAUGAACCGUUAUAACCGGCGAUUUCCGAAUGGGGAAACCCAGUGUGAUUCGUCACACUAUCAUUAACUGAAUCCAUAGGUUAAUGAGGCGAACCGGGGGAACUGAAACAUCUAAGUACCCCGAGGAAAAGAAAUCAACCGAGAUUCCCCCAGUAGCGGCGAGCGAACGGGGAGGAGCCCAGAGCCUGAAUCAGUGUGUGUGUUAGUGGAAGCGUCUGGAAAGGCGCGCGAUACAGGGUGACAGCCCCGUACACAAAAAUGCACAUACUGUGAGCUCGAUGAGUAGGGCGGGACACGUGGUAUCCUGUCUGAAUAUGGGGGGACCAUCCUCCAAGGCUAAAUACUCCUGACUGACCGAUAGUGAACCAGUACCGUGAGGGAAAGGCGAAAAGAACCCCGGCGAGGGGAGUGAAAAAGAACCUGAAACCGUGUACGUACAAGCAGUGGGAGCCUCUUAAUGGGGUGACUGCGUACCUUUUGUAUAAUGGGUCAGCGACUUAUAUUCUGUAGCAAGGUUAACCGAAUAGGGGAGCCGAAGGGAAACCGAGUCUUAACUGGGCGUUAAGUUGCAGGGUAUAGACCCGAAACCCGGUGAUCUAGCUAUGGGCAGGUUGAAGGUUGGGUAACACUAACUGGAGGACCGAACCGACUAAUGUUGAAAAAUUAGCGGAUGACUUGUGGCUGGGGGUGAAAGGCCAAUCAAACCGGGAGAUAGCUGGUUCUCCCCGAAAGCUAUUUAGGUAGCGCCUCGUGAAUUCAUCUCCGGGGGUAGAGCACUGUUUCGGCAAGGGGGUCAUCCCGACUUACCAACCCGAUGCAAACUGCGAAUACCGGAGAAUGUUAUCACGGGAGACACACGGCGGGUGCUAACGUCCGUCGUGAAGAGGGAAACAACCCAGACCGCCAGCUAAGGUCCCAAAGUCAUGGUUAAGUGGGAAACGAUGUGGGAAGGCCCAGACAGCCAGGAUGUUGGCUUAGAAGCAGCCAUCAUUUAAAGAAAGCGUAAUAGCUCACUGGUCGAGUCGGCCUGCGCGGAAGAUGUAACGGGGCUAAACCAUGCACCGAAGCUGCGGCAGCGACGCUUAUGCGUUGUUGGGUAGGGGAGCGUUCUGUAAGCCUGUGAAGGUGGCCUGUGAGGGUUGCUGGAGGUAUCAGAAGUGCGAAUGCUGACAUAAGUAACGAUAAAGCGGGUGAAAAGCCCGCUCGCCGGAAGACCAAGGGUUCCUGUCCAACGUUAAUCGGGGCAGGGUGAGUCGACCCCUAAGGCGAGGCCGAAAGGCGUAGUCGAUGGGAAACAGGUUAAUAUUCCUGUACUUGGUGUUACUGCGAAGGGGGGACGGAGAAGGCUAUGUUGGCCGGGCGACGGUUGUCCCGGUUUAAGCGUGUAGGCUGGUUUUCCAGGCAAAUCCGGAAAAUCAAGGCUGAGGCGUGAUGACGAGGCACUACGGUGCUGAAGCGACAAAUGCCCUGCUUCCAGGAAAAGCCUCUAAGCAUCAGGUAACAUUAAAUCGUACCCCAAACCGACACAGGUGGUCAGGUAGAGAAUACCAAGGCGCUUGAGAGAACUCGGGUGAAGGAACUAGGCAAAAUGGUGCCGUAACUUCGGGAGAAGGCACGCUGAUAUGUAGGUGAAGCGACUUGCUCGUGGAGCUGAAAUCAGUCGAAGAUACCAGCUGGCUGCAACUGUUUAUUAAAAACACAGCACUGUGCAAACACGAAAGUGGACGUAUACGGUGUGACGCCUGCCCGGUGCCGGAAGGUUAAUUGAUGGGGUUAGCGGUAACGCGAAGCUCUUGAUCGAAGCCCCGGUAAACGGCGGCCGUAACUAUAACGGUCCUAAGGUAGCGAAAUUCCUUGUCGGGUAAGUUCCGACCUGCACGAAUGGCGUAAUGAUGGCCAGGCUGUCUCCACCCGAGACUCAGUGAAAUUGAACUCGCUGUGAAGAUGCAGUGUACCCGCGGCAAGACGGAAAGACCCCGUGAACCUUUACUAUAGCUUGACACUGAACAUUGAGCCUUGAUGUGUAGGAUAGGUGGGAGGCUUUGAAGUGUGGACGCCAGUCUGCAUGGAGCCGACCUUGAAAUACCACCCUUUAAUGUUUGAUGUUCUAACGUGGGCCCCUUACCGGGGUUGCGGACAGUGUCUGGUGGGUAGUUUGACUGGGGCGGUCUCCUCCUAAAGAGUAACGGAGGAGCACGAAGGUUGGCUAAUCCUGGUCGGACAUCAGGAGGUUAGUGCAAUGGCAUAAGCCAGCUUGACUGCGAGCGUGACGGCGCGAGCAGGUGCGAAAGCAGGUCAUAGUGAUCCGGUGGUUCUGAAUGGAAGGGCCAUCGCUCAACGGAUAAAAGGUACUCCGGGGAUAACAGGCUGAUACCGCCCAAGAGUUCAUAUCGACGGCGGUGUUUGGCACCUCGAUGUCGGCUCAUCACAUCCUGGGGCUGAAGUAGGUCCCAAGGGUAUGGCUGUUCGCCAUUUAAAGUGGUACGCGAGCUGGGUUUAGAACGUCGUGAGACAGUUCGGUCCCUAUCUGCCGUGGGCGCUGGAGAACUGAGGGGGGCUGCUCCUAGUACGAGAGGACCGGAGUGGACGCAUCACUGGUGUUCGGGUUGUCAUGCCAAUGGCACUGCCCGGUAGCUAAAUGCGGAAGAGAUAAGUGCUGAAAGCAUCUAAGCACGAAACUUGCCCCGAGAUGAGUUCUCCCUGACUCCUUGAGAGUCCUGAAGGAACGUUGAAGACGACGACGUUGAUAGGCCGGGUGUGUAAGCGCAGCGAUGCGUUGAGCUAACCGGUACUAAUGAACCGUGAGGCUUAACCUU